GACAGAGGUCUCAAGCGUUAGGCGGAAUCACUGGGCUUAAAGCGUGUGUAGGCGGAAUCCUAAGUACCUUGUGAAAUCCCCGGGCUUAACCCGGGAACUGCUUGGUAUACUGGGUUUCUUGAGCCAACUAGGGGCGACCGGAACAAACGGUGGAGCGGUGAAAUGCGUUGAUAUCGAUAGAACUCCGGUGGCGAAGGCGGCAUACUGGAUCACUUCUGACGCUGAGGCGCGAAAGCCAGGGGAGCAAACGGG
rnacentral:rRNA from 1 species